CCUACGGGUGGCAGCAGUGGGGGAUAUUGCACAAUGGGGGGAACCCUGAUGCAGCGACGCCGCGUGGGUGAAGGAGCGUUUCGGCGCGUAAAGCCCUGUCAUGUGGGAGCAAAUUAAAAAGAUAGUACCACAAGAGGAAGAGACGGCUAACUCUGUGCCAGCAGCCGCGGUAAUACAGAGGUCUCAAGCGUUGUUCGGAAUCACUGGGCGUAAAGCGUGCGUAGGCUGUUUCGUAAGUCGUGUGUGAAAGGCGCGGGCUCAACCCGCGGACGGCACAUGAUACUGCGAGACUAGAGUAAUGGAGGGGGAACCGGAAUUCUCGGUGUAGCAGUGAAAUGCGUAGAUAUCGAGAGGAACACUCGUGGCGAAGGCGGGUUCCUGGACAUUAACUGACGCUGAGGCACGAAGGCCAGGGGAGCGAAAGGGAUUAGAUACCCUUGUAGUC
rnacentral:rRNA from 1 species